rnacentral:rRNA from 1 species
GACAAACGCUGGCGGCGUGCCUAACACAUGCAAGUGGAGCGACGAACCGGGCUUCGGCCCGGGGCCAAGCCGCGAACGGGUGAGUAACACGUGGGUAACCUGCCCUGAUGAUUGGGACAACCCGAGGAAACUCGGGCUAAUACCGAAUGUGCCCUCCGACCAUAAGGUCUGCGGGGAAAGGAAGCUUCGGCCUCCGCAUCGGGAUGGGCCCGCGGCGCAUUAGCUUGUUGGUGGGGUAACGGCUCACCAAGGCGACGAUGCGUAGCUGGUCUGCGAGGACGAUCAGCCACACUGGGACUGAGACACGGCCCAGACUCCUACGGGAGGCAGCAGUGGGGAAUCUUGCGCAAUGCGCGAAAGCGUGACGCAGCAACGCCGCGUGGGGAAGACGGCC